UGCCAGCCGCCGCGGUAAUACGGAGGGUGCAAGCGUUAAUCGGAAUUACUGGGCGUAAAGCGCACGUAGGCGGCUAUUUAAGUCGGAUGUGAAAGCCCUGGGCUCAACCUGGGAACUGCAUUCGAUACUGGGUAGCUAGAAUUUGAGAGAGGCAAGUGGAAUUUCCGGUGUAGCGGUGAAAUGCAUAGAGAUCGGAAGGAACACCAGUGGCGAAGGCGACUUGCUGGCUCAAAAUUGACGCUGAGGUGCGAAAGCGUGGGUAGCAAACAGGAUUAGAUA
rnacentral:rRNA from 1 species